rnacentral:rRNA from 1 species
UUAGCCCUAAACUUAGAUAGUUACUCAAACAAAACUAUCCGCCAGAGAACUACUAGCAACAGCUUAAAACUCAAAGGACUUGGCGGUGCUUUAUAUCCCUCUAGAGGAGCCUGUUCUAUAAUCGAUAAACCCCGAUAUACCUCACCACCCCUCGCCAAUUCAGUCUAUAUACCGCCAUCUUCAGCAAACCCUAAUAAAGGAAGAGAAGUAAGCACAAGUAUUUCAACAUAAAAAAGUUAGGUCAAGGUGUAACCUAUGAGGUGGGAAGCAAUGGGCUACAUUUUCUAUACCAGAACACCCACGAAAGUUCUUAUGAAACUAAGAACUAAAGGAGGAUUUAGUAGUAAAUUGAGAAUAGAGUGCUCAAUUGAAUAGGGCCAUGAAGCACGC